GGCUGAGUAGCUCAGUUGGUGAGAGCGCACGACUCAUAAUCGUGAGGUCGCGGGUUCGAGUCCCGCCUCAGCUACCG
rnacentral:tRNA from 2 species